UGUUCGCCGUUGAAGUGGAGAGUACUCAUAAACCAGGCUGGCAAGAGAGGGCAGGACGUGGCUGAAAUCCCGCCUACAGAACGUUAUGACGAACAACACCACCGAGGCUCUGCGCUGAACGCGACCGAUUCAGUAGGUGCAGACGGAACCGGCCGUUAUCCGGAUUCAGAGUGGGCGCUUCAUGGCGCCAAUUUGGGUGGAACCGCGGAAGCUGAUGAAAGCUCUCGUCCCUUGU
rnacentral:ncRNA from 1 species